rnacentral:tRNA from 1 species
GCCUGGUGGCUCAGUUGGUUAAGCGACCGACUUCAGCUCAGGUCACCAUCUCACAGUUUGUGGGUUCGAGCCCCACAUCAGGCU